rnacentral:miRNA from 1 species
CUUGCAGCAAGCAGAUCCCAG